rnacentral:rRNA from 1 species
CUACGGGAUGCUGCAGUGGGGAAUAUUGCACAAUGGAGGAAACUCUGAUGCAGCAACGCCGCGUGGAGGAUGACACUUUUCGGAGCGUAAACUCCUUUUAUAUAGGAAGAAGAUGACGGUACUAUAUGAAUAAGCGCCGGCUAACUCCGUGCCAGCAGCCGCGGUAAUACGGAGGGCGCAAGCGUUACUCGGAAUCACUGGGCGUAAAGAGCGUGUAGGCGGAUUAAAAAGUCAGAAGUGAAAUCCUAUAGCUUAACUAUAGAACUGCUUCUGAAACUCUUAAUCUAGAAUAUGGGAGAGGUAGAUGGAAUUUCUGGUGUAGGGGUAAAAUCCGUAGAGAUCAGAAGGAAUACCGAUUGCGAAGGCGAUCUACUAGAACAUUAUUGACGCUGAGACGCGAAAGCGUGGGGAGCAAACAGGAUUAGAUACCCUCGUAGUC